GAUGAACGCUGGCGGUGUGCCUAAUACAUGCAAGUCGAGCGAACAGACGAGGAGCUUGCUCCUCUGACGUUAGCGGCGGACGGGUGAGUAACACGUGGAUAACCUACCUAUAAGACUGGGAUAACUUCGGGAAACCGGAGCUAAUACCGGAUAAUAUAUUGAACCGCAUGGUUCAAUAGUGAAAGACGGUUUUGCUGUCACUUAUAGAUGGAUCCGCGCCGCAUUAGCUAGUUGGUAAGGUAACGGCUUACCAAGGCAACGAUGCGUAGCCGACCUGAGAGGGUGAUUGGCCACACUGGAACUGAGACACGGUCCAGACUCCUACGGGAGGCAGCAGUAGGGAAUCUUCCGCAAUGGGCGAAAGCCUGACGGAGCAACGCCGCGUGAGUGAUGAAGGUCUUCGGAUCGUAAAACUCUGUUAUUAGGGAAGAACAAAUGUGUAAGUAACUAUGCACGUCUUGACGGUACCUAAUCAGAAAGCCACGGCUAACUACGUG
rnacentral:rRNA from 1 species